rnacentral:rRNA from 1 species
UUACCAUGCAAGUCGAACGAUGAUCCAGGAGCUUGCUCUUGGGGAUUAGUGGCGAACGGGUGAGUAACACGUGAGCAAUCUGCCCUUCACUCUGGGAUAACCUCCGGAAACGGAAGCUAAUACCGGAUAUGACGCACGGAGGCAUCUCCUGUGCGUGGAAAGAACUUCGGUGAAGGAUGAGCUCGCGGCCUAUCAGGUAGUUGGUGAGGUAACGGCCCACCAAGCCUACGACGGGUAGCCGGCCUGAGAGGGUGACCGGCCACACUGGGACUGAGACACGGCCCAGACUCCUACGGGAGGCAGCAGUGGGGAAUAUUGCACAAUGGGCGCAAGCCUGAUGCAGCAACGCCGCGUGAGGGACGACGGCCUUCGGGUUGUAAACCUCUUUUAGUAGGGAAGAAGCGAAAGUGACGGUACCUGCAGAAAAAGCACCGGCUAACUACGUGCCAGCAGCCGCGGUAAUACGUAGGGUGCAAGCGUUGUCCGGAAUUAUUGGGCGUAAAGAGCUCGUAGGCGGUUUGUCGCGUCUGCUGUGAAAACCCGAGGCUCAACCUCGGGCCUGCAGUGGGUACGGGCAGACUAGAGUGCGGUAGGGGAGAAUGGAAUUCCUGGUGUAGCGGUGGAAUGCGCAGAUAUCAGGAGGAACACCGAUGGCGAAGGCAGUUCUCUGGGCCGUAACUGACGCUGAGGAGCGAAAGCGUGGGGAGCGAACAGGAUUAGAUACCCUGGUAGUCCACGCCGUAAACGUUGGGCGCUAGAUGUGGGGACCAUUCCACGGUUUCCGUGUCGCAGCUAACGCAUUAAGCGCCCCGCCUGGGGAGUACGGCCGCAAGGCU